ensembl:lncRNA
CAAGAAUAAAGCAAAGCAAUGCGACAAAAACAACAACACAGAGCUACACGUAAACAAACAUAGUCAAUAACACAGUAGAACAUGAAAAUAGAAAGAUCUAUGUACAGUGACAUGGCCAUACUCGUAUUUGUAAUUGUAUCUGUAAAUUGACAGGAUGAUACUUGUGAUCUGGGUUAAACUGAAGUGUUUUAAUAUGCCUAAAUACAUUUUGGCAGAAUAGCUCACUUCACAUUCUCACUGCAAAAAAAAAACAUGUCUGUGGCGUGGUAAUGGUUGACCAGGGAAAUGUCUGUGGAAUGGUAAUGAUUGACCAGGGAAAUGUCUGUGGCGUGGUAAUGGUUGACCAGGGAAAUGUCUGUGGCAUGGUAGACCAGGGACAUGUCUGUGGCAUGGUAAUGGUUGACCAGGGAAAAUGUCUGUUGUCAUGGUAAUGGUUGACCAGGGAAAUGUCUGUUGUCAUGGUAAUGGUUGACCAGGGAAAUGUCUGUUGUCAUGGUAAUGGUUGACCAGGGAAAUGUCUGUUGUCAUGGUAAUGGUUGACCAGGGAAAUGUCUGUUGUCAUGGUAAUGGUUGACCAGGGAAAAUGUCUGUUGUCAUGGUAAUGGUUGACCAGGGAAAUGUCUGUGGAAUGGUAAUGGUUGACCAGGGAAAUGGAAAUGUGAUGGUAAUGGUUGACCAGGGAAAUGUAUGUUGUCAUGGUAAUGGUUGACCAGGGAAAUGUCUGUGGCAUGGUAGACCAGGGACAUGUCUGUGGCAUGGUAAUGGUUGACCAGGGAAAAUGUCUCUUGUCAUGGUAAUGGUUGACCAGGGAAAAUGUCUCUUGUCAUGGUAAUGGUUGACCAGGGAAAUGUCCGUGGCAUGGUAAUGGUUGACCAGGGAAAUGUCUGUUGUCAUGGUAAUGGUUGACCAGGGAAAUGUCUGUGACAUGGUAGACCAGGGACAUGUCUGUGGCAUGGUAAUGAUUGACCAGGGAAAAUGUCUGUUGUCAUGGUAAUGGUUGACCAGGGAAAUGUCUGUUGUCAUGGUAAUGGUUGACCAGGGAAAUGUCUGUGGCAUGGUAGACCAGGGACAUGUCUGUGGCAUGGUAAUGGUUGACCAGGGAAAUGACUGUGGCAUGGUAAUGGUUGACCAGGGAAAUGUCUGUGGCAUGGUAAUGGUUGACCAGGGAAAAUGU